AAGAAAGGAUUAUGAAAUACAGAGACUGCUAAUUAUCUGAACCUAGAGUUAAAAUCUUUAGUCUUCUUA
rnacentral:tRNA from 1 species